GAGUGAUCACAGUUUUUGAGAAUCAUGAUGAGGCAUUAAAGAAGAGGAGGAGUGUCUCAAGGGAGGUGAGCUGGAGGUGAUGCAAGCCUCAGACUCAGGGCUGGGACCCUUGGGACUCAAAAGAGAGAAAAGGUGGAGAAAAGAGAAAGCUACUAUUUUCUUCAUUUUGCCCCUGCUAACAUCCAAUGCACUUAGGAGCCUCGAUGUCUGCUCUCCAAGAGAUGUCUGAUCUGAAAGCAUGUUGUGGUCCGCUACACACAAGAGCAAAAGAAGAGCAGGAAGGAGCUCAGUGCCAAGACCAUAGCCACAGGAAGAAAACCAGCUCUUAGGGCUGCAGCUCUAAAGACAGGCCAGGUCAUUACAGGAACGUCUGCUCCCUUAGCCUUGCCAGACAGAGGAGGGUUAAGAAAGGAACUGCUGACCCUGAUAUGCAAACUGCCACGAGUGCUUCCUGCCUUUCUAUCAGCAUCAGAUGGCUAGCGAUGGAUGGCUGUAAGAUUGAUGUAAUUAACAUUUUAUUUUCAGGGCCACAGUGCUGGUUGGGUGCACCAGACAAAUCAACCAACAGAUUAAAGAGUGAUGGAGAAAGCUGUGUUUUGGGCCUCAUUUGGGAACAGAAUGGAAGAGCUGAGGGUGGAAGGGACCUCAGCAAGUCUUCUGAUCCAUGUUUCAACCUUCAUUUCCCCGAUAACCUCAAGGAGAGAGUUGCUUUUCCUGUUCUUCAAAUGAGUUCCUUGAAUUCACACUCUAUUUCUUUGAAUUUGCACAGACUGUUGAGGAACAGGCGGCAGGGUCACUCUACCUCUGCUCAGACAAGCCUGGAAAAGAAAAAUUUUACAUAGAAGACUGAGCUGGAAGAGGCCUGGGAACUUGGGAAUUCCCACUUCCACACUGCCCACUCUAGUUCUCAAGAGGCGGCAGCUAUGCUGCAGUACAGACCACUGAAUUUAGAUUCAGGAAUCUGGGUUUAUAUCUCACUCCUCCUCUUACUUGCAAGUCACUUACCACACCAGGCCUCGGUUUCCUGGACAAUAAAAUGGGGAUAACGUUGCCCCAUGUGGUUGUU
rnacentral:lncRNA from 1 species